rnacentral:rRNA from 1 species
UAAAGAAUUUCGGUCAUCGAUGGGGAUGCGUUCCAUUAGCUUGUUGGCGGGGUAACGGCCCACCAAGGCAUCGAUGGAUAGGGGUUCUGAAAGGAAGGUCCCCCACAUUGGAACUGAGACACGGUCCAAACUCCUACGGGGGGCAGCAGUGAGGAAUAUUGGUCAAUGGGCGCUAGCCUGAACCAGCCAAGUAGCGUGAAGGAUGACUGCCCUAUGGGUUGUAAACUUCUUUUAUAUGGGAAUAAAGUGCAGUAUGUAUACUGCUUUGCAUGUACCUUAUGAAUAAGGAUCGGCUAACUCCGUGCCAGCAGCCGCGGUAAUACGGAGGAUCCGAGCGUUAUCCGGAUUUAUUGGGUUUAAAGGGAGCGUAGGCGGGUUGUUAAGUCAGUUGUGAAAGUUUGCGGCUCAACCGUAAAAUUGCAGUUGAUACUGGCAUCCUUGAGUACAGUAGAGGUAGGCGGAAUUCGUGGUGUAGCGGUGAAAUGCUUAGAUAUCACGAAGAACUCCGAUUGCGAAGGCAGCCUGCUGGACUGUAACUGACGCUGAUGCUCGAAAGUGUGGGUAUCAAACAGGAUUAGAUACCCUGGUAGUCCACACAGUAAAAGAGGAAUACUCGCUGUUUGCGAUAUACAGUAA